CUCUCCUAAAGGCACAGAUUCUCUGCCCUGGCUACACUGCCUUGGGGAUGAGAGAGGGGUGGUGUAGGCACUGCUGAAGCUGUCCUUCCUAUAAUCUUCAUUGUGUCUUUCCUUGUUACAAUGCUAAAACCAGGCUACCUUAAAUGUCCACGAAUUAUUACAUUUGUUUGCAAUAAUGAGAUAUCAAAGCUUUGAAGAUUUUGGAUACCUGAUUGAAGCUUAAUACCCAUAAGAUUUUAUUUUAUGCCUAGAAAUAGAUGGAGAAUGUUUUCAGAGACAACUGAUGAAAUUUCAGCACCAGUUGCUUCACCCAGGGCAGAUAAUGACAGCAAGAAAGAUCC